rnacentral:rRNA from 1 species
GACGAACGCUGGCGGCGUGCUUAACACAUGCAAGUCGGACGGUUGGCACUGGAAGGUUCGCUGGAAGGUGCUGAUAGUGGCGGACGGGUGAGUAACGCGUGAGGACAUGUCUGCAGGAGGGGGAUAACGUUUGGAAACGGACGCUAAGACCCCGUAAGCAGGGAGGUGAAAGUGGCGAAAGCCAGCCUGUGGAGUGACUCGCGUCCUAUCAGGUAGUUGGCGGGGUGAAGGCCCACCAAGGCGAUGACGGGUAGCCGACCUGAGCGGGUGGGCGGCCACAAUGGAACUGAGAGACGGUCCAGGCUCCUACAGGAGGGAGCAGUGGGGAAUGUUGGGCAAUGGGCGGAAGCCUGACCCAGCGACGCCGCGUGGGGGAAGAAGUCUUUCGGGAUGUAAACCCUUGUUGUACGGGACGAAGGAAGUGACGGUACCGUACGAGGAAGCCCCGGCAAACUACGUGCCAGCCGCCGCAGUAACAC